rnacentral:rRNA from 1 species
UACGUAGGGUGCAAGCGUUUGUCCGGAAUUAUUGGGCGUAAAGAGCUCGUAGGCGGUUUGUCGCGUCUGCUGUGAAAACCCGAGGCCCAACCUCGGGCCUGCAGUGGGUACGGGCAGACUAGAGUGCGGUAGGGGAGAUUGGAAUUCCUGGUGUAGCGGUGGAAUGCGUAGAGAUGUGGAGGAACACCAGUGGCGAAGGCGGCUUUCUGGUCUGUAACUGACGCUGAGGAGCGAAAGCAUGGGGAGCGAACAGG